UUUAAAAAUAUGAAGAUAAUUAUUAAACUUUAUUCAUGAAUUAAAAUUGCUAAUUUUUUAAAUUAUAAUUAUCAUUAAUAUUAUUCUUUAUUUGUACGAAUUGCGGAAAAAUUUAUGAGCUUCGUUCAAUUUCUGUCUAAGUCCUUACCAGGAAACAAUAUUUUUUAAAUGUUUUUUUAAAUAUUUAAAAAACGUUAUAAUGAAGAAUAAAUAUUUUAAAAACAUUUAAAAAACAUAAUAAAAAAUGUGCGCAUCACUAGUUCACAUAUGACGUUUGUGACUUGACGAAAUUCAAAUUUGCAUCUGAGAAGUUCGCCUAACCAAAUACUCGACUGUAAAUGAAACUCCUAAGCAAAAGCGCUUUCCCUCGGUUUAACGUUGUUCUUCGCGGCGCGUGGUGUCCCUUGGCGCGGCCGUAUACGUAAAAAUGAUAAUUUUACGACGACGGAGCGUACCACCGUCACGGUGUUUCACGAUUGUACCAGCCGUAAGAUCACGCGCCGCUUGAUUACGAGACACAUUUCCAGCGCGAUAGCUUAGGUGCGUGCAUUAUGCGUGUGCGCGUGGCGCACGGUACAGGCGUGCUCACGAUUGUCACGGAAAUAGGUCGUCGCCGAGUGCUAAGACCGAGGUUGUACAUACGUGCCGUUGGCAGGAAAAAAAGAAAAGAAUCACACACAUGCACGCACACUGUUCGCCUAAUUCCUUCUCUUGAGCCGGGCCAGAGACAUUUGGCCGCUUUCCUCAUUCGCGACGUUUUAAUGACUGCUCUAGAAAUAUUUCGUCUACUCAGCUAGUAAUGCUAAAUUUAUUAUAUAUCUACCGCUCAAUCCUGACGGUCGUUUCGCAUGAAUCAUUCAAAUUUAAACGUAGAAUAAACGGAUUUGUCAUUAACUCAAUCAAUCAACUUUCCAAUGCGAUUUUGGGGACGUGACUUCAUAAAUAUUACUUGACGUAGAAAUAUGAUUUUUUCAAAAUUGCAUUAAUUAUAUGAUAAUAUAAUUUUAAACAUAGGCGAAAUAUAUUCUCUUAGAUUAUUUCUACAUGUUUUGUCCAUUUGCAUGUUUCACAUAGGAUAAUUUAGUCCAAAUGAAAUUUUUUGAAAUAUCAAUUACACUAGAAAAUGGCUGUAUUUUCCUUGGCAAGUGGGCAAUUUUCCUUGUGAACCAUAAUUUGUAAAAAAAGUUAGCGAUUCAAAAAGCUCUCUGUCUCUUAAAUCGAUACUAUUUUGACUUUUCUGUCACGUUCACGGAUUAACAAAUUCAAGAAACGCGCACUCGUGCGCGCAAGCCACCGCCCUCGCGGUCGUUAGAAGCGACGAUUGCCGCCGCAAUAAAAGUACGUGAGACUAUCGUGCGCACGAAGUGGGUCAGAGUGCUCACUGGGCCGAUGUCGAAAAGAAUCGAGGGACGAAAUGGGUCAGCGCCGGAAACGCGAUGUCGAAACGUAUCGCGUCUAGCCGAGCGCUUUCUUCGCGACCUUCCUCCUCUAUAAAUACGCAUACGUGCGUGCCUGUACACGCACACGAGCAAAAGCGCGCCUAUCACACGUACGAGCUUCCAUGGGCGUGAGAUGUUACUUCUGCAGCGAUCACUCGGACCGGGAAAUCGGGCUGGGAAAUGGGUCAAGAAUGGAGCGACAAGAGAGUUAUGUGUUUUCGGUAGCCGAAGUAACUGACGAACUUCCGCGCCGUAAAGACCCCACUAUACACGUAAUUUAAGAUACACGUGUGGUCCUGAAGAUAUUCAAUUCGGAGCGGACGUAGAUAGCCAGUUCCCUUUAAAAUGAAAAGCUUCUAGCUACGAAAAACCAUUGAUAUUAUUUUAUUAUUAUAUUAAUAUUAUUUUUAUUAAUAUUACCAUUUAUAUGGCUCUUAUUCUUCAGGAUUCUUGUAUUGAUUUUAUUUAUUGUUAAUUAAUGGAUCAUUGAGAACAUUAAUUGUAGAGCAUGAAUAGGGUAUACAUAUAAAAGUAUAUUUUUGCACUGGAAUUUCUAACAAAAUUCUGACAGAAUCUAUGGAUUAAUACAUUUAUGUUAUAUAAAAACAUUACGUUUGCUUCUUCAAUCUAAAAAAAAAAAAUUUUCAUAAUGCAUCAGUGAAUAAGCUCGAUAGUGUGUAAAGACAAGAAAUGUAGCCAUUUAGAAAGUUGUAACACGUGCCGUCAUCACGCGUUUGAAAGUUCUACUUUUUACUGACGAGGAGCGAUAUUGUUUCCCCUGCCGCCCCCUUUCCCAUUUGAUACGCAACGAAUAUCGUUACACAACGCUUGGGUGAUAUUAUUAGUGACCCGCCUGGAUGAUUGCUCGGCAGCUGCCUUUGCCAAACGGUCAAACGGUCUAGGCGCUUUCUUCCCGACCUUCCUCAUCUAUAAAUAAGCGUGUGAGCUUACGCGAGUGCGUUUAUGCAAUUGUAUGUCGAGAAAUAGGUCAAGCCAACAAGCGCGAUCCUGUUUCACUUUUUACCAAUCGGCGAUGUUUUUCUGAUUUCUUGGCGAAGGCCAGUACGCUUCACUGGCGAUCGUUUCCUAUAUGUACGCAAUAUAGCUUCAAAUUAAUCGGGAUGACUGUCGGAUUAGAAAGGUGUCUCUUCUGAAUAUCUUCUCACACGCUUAGAUGCUUGACAUAUUUGAUUUUCUACGGUACGAAAGAUGAUUCAUGCGCGUACAUCUUAUUUUGAAAAUACAGAUUUUUUUCUUCCCUCUAGGGAAGGGAAGGAAGAAAUUAAUUUUUAAUUGCUCAAAUUUGUAAUCACAAAUUGUGAUAUUAAUAACAACGAUAAUGUUGACAGAAAAAUGUUAAUCUUGUUCAUGUUUUUAUUUUAAAUGUAUGUAAAAAAAAGACACGCAUGCUUAUUAUGAUGAUCAUAGGCUAUCGUUAUCGUACAAGUGCUUGAAACGCAAUUAAUGUGAAGAAAUAUUUUGUGCUGAUCAAAAAAUUCCCCUGCAGCGGUCGCAAUAACUGCUUGGUCAAGUAUUGAUAAAGAAAUCAUUUGGCGAGAAAACAGAUCGGACGAAGGUCUGAGGGAAAAUUGGGGUCGCAACGUGCUUUCUUCUUGGCCUUCCACCUUCCUUGACUUCUACUUAUACUUCGUCUUCGUCGUUUCUAUAAAUAGUGGCUUGCACGCGCUUACGCUUGUGCACGCCGACUGCGUGAACCGAGGGACACGCGUACUCACGCACUGUGCGCGGUUGCGACAGACCGCCUGAUUACGACAGGGCCGUACGUUCAGUGUUGAUGAAAGAAAACACCUCUUCUUCGUUUUUAUCACCUUAUUUUCACGCCCGCUUACCCCUUGGACUUUCAGAAUGUAGCAACGAGUAAACGCCGUAAAAAGAUACUCGGAUAACAUGUUUUGAACGCAUAUACCUCUUCAUUUAUGUACCGAAAUAGAUUUCCAAUCUCUUCGGGGUGCUUUACAUGCACCGAGAGAAAAUGUGGAAUAGUUCUGCCAACUAUAAUCUUACAACCCUAAAAUUAAACUACCUGUCACUAUGGUUUACUUGUUCUCAAAUUUUUAAUUGCUGGCAUAACUUUUUUUCUCUGAAUGUGUGAAGGAAACGACAACAAAUCUAUUCUUUUAGCCAUUAUAAAUUGUGUCCAAGCGGUCUCUCUCUCUCUCUCUCUCUCUCUCCUCAUGUGUUUUCCAAAAUAUUUUGAAUAUUGCAAUUGAUGCUAGGCAGUGGCGAAAAGUUGCGAUAGAGCAGCAUUCAAUGGGAACAUUUAUACGAGGGUGCAGUCGCCAUUAUGCUACGAGAACGACAAGCCGCGAGAACUUCGAGGCCGACCUUAACUCUCGUCUCGAAACGGGCACAUCGUUUCUAAAUGCGUCGUGCGCGACACUCUUUGGGCCGUGUUAGCGCUGCUGCGAGCAACAAAAUACGAUAAAACGAGAGCUCUAGCGUGCCUAUUUUUCCUCAACGCAACCUGAUCGAGCCAUAAAUGUCUCUUUAUUCCGUGAAUCUUGUUUUCGUUUUCAUAAAAUAAAAUUUAUAUAUGCAGACAAAGAGAGAGAGAGAGAGAGAGAGAGAGAGAGAUUUUUAAAAUAUCAGCAACGUAUAUCUUUGUACAAAAAUAGUUUAAUUUAUGCUUUAGCCGGGAGACGUCGAAUAUUAUAACGACUAUCGCAAAUUGAGUGCAAAUAGAAAGAUCAUAUCUGCACGGUGGUCGUUUACAUAAAAUUAACUGCAUUAAGAACAUUUUAUAUUCAUUUACACGUCGCUCGCGCUGAAAUUAUGCUCUAUAAUCUAUUUUCUUUUCUCAGAAAUGACCAUCAGCGAAAUGCCCAAGUUAGUGCUGACGGCAAGUAUAUAAUAAGAGUGGCCACUAUUAUUUCGACACGGCUCCCUCGCGAACACGGCCCUUCUCUUCUCUUCUCUUCCCGCAGUGCGGACCACGCUUGUCCCGCUUAUGUAAUUUUCUCAACUGCCGGAGUGCCGUGAGUGUCGACGAAACGAAAUUGAAAGUAAAGUAACCAAACGUUCCCUGUGGCGUAGUGUUUCCGAGCCGUCGUCGUUGAAAGACGGUGAGAAGCGCGACGGCGAGUAAAAGGAGACGAGGCAUGGCGCGCGCGGUGGUAGAAGCUCAGCGAAGGUUACAUUAAUUAUCUCAGACGCGUUUGAAAAAUCCCACCGGACAUCUCCGUAAAAAGAGAGAACGAAGGCAACUCUAGGUACGAUGAAAGAAUUUCGAUCCAGCAUAAGACAAUCAAUAGUUCCUGGCUUCAAAGCACUAUUUUAAUUGGUUUCCUGAAGAAGACGUAAAAAAUAUAUUAUACAAUGCGUCUUUAAAUGAAAAUCUAGAUCUCUAUAUCGGGGCGUCUACAAUACACGUGUAGACACUUGAAUUUUAAACUGGACUCUACUUACAAUGCGUCCGCUGCAUCGUAAAAGAAAGAAAGAUGAUCGGUACAGAAGAUCCAAGAAUUACAGAUCGGCGACGCGAUCCACUCUCCCGUUUCCGGCGACGCGAAGAAAAUUGCUCAACGGCGCCCCGUCGAUGCGUGUGGAUGAUAAGCAUCCGCGACCAUUCCGUUUCUCCUCUUUAUCAGACGAAACUUCAGACGCGGUUACCUACGCAGGCGUUUCAAUUUCCGAAUGACCCAAUUUCGCAAUGCGGCGUCGCGUAUGCGUACACGCAUGUGCACGCGCGUGCAAUUGCUUCAGGCGCCGCGGCUAAUCCUCCACAUUCCUCGAUAUUGUCCACGUGCUCGUCCGAUAACGGAGCGACGUCUUAGGAGACGUUACAAACAAAGCAGAUAGGAUAUUAUUUCGGGAUUUCCGAGCGAAAUUUCUGACGAACUUUAAAUCCAUUUCGCAAAAUGGACAUUUCGCAAAAUAUCAUUUUCAUUUAGCAAAAAAAAAAGAAAAGUCAGAAGAGAGAAAAAUACACACCGUGCUUUGCACGCCAUUUAUGCGCGUUUAUUUCAAGGUUUGAUUUUGUAACUACAUGUUUCUUCGUGACGGAAAUAGCCGCAGAUCGGUUAUUUUUGCGGUCAUUUCGAAUUUACAUAUUUACAAAGUGACAAGUGCAAAUAAAAAAGAAUUAUCAUAAAUCACGGUCACGUGCCCCUUAUCGGCACUUAAUUUAACGCUAUGUGAAACGUUAUAACCAUGUUUCGAUAGUCGCCACUGUUAUUAUUUCAUAUGCACGCAAAAUGAGAUUAUAAAGUUAUUUUCAUAACUCGGCGCGCGUCGCAUUUAAUGUAUGCCAAUAUUCUGUACGUACGACGUAAAACACAAUACUAAUCUCUUUCAUUUUUUUAUCAUGGAGGAAUCAUGAGUAUAUAUAUAUUUUAACACGUUGUGUAUCCAGUAAUGAUAAUUUUUUUAC